GGGCGCCUUCUGAACUCUCUCUCUCUCUUUCUCUCUCUCUCUCUCGACCUCAGCUUCUAAAAGCUCUCGUCCUCCCUCCAAGUUUCCCUUCAUUUCUAGGGUUCUACCUCCAAAGCCCUUCCGUUCCUCGGAGAAUUCUCUCCUUAUCUCCUCCGGCCGCGAUCACGGAUUUUCCGGGGCUUCCCUAGUAGCUUUGAGCGAAUCGAGAAAUGAGACCCGAUUGUGUUAGAUUGAGCAGAGUUCCAGGUGUUCGAUUUAGGUUCUGGUAGCUGGAAAGAAGAAUUAGAAGAAAGAAAUAAGUUUUAGAAUAUGGGAUGCCUGGUAUCCACACCAAGAGAUUCAGGUGGACACAGAAUAAGGCCUGGGAAUAUUGGGGAGGUGGCUGUGUUUGUGCCGGGAUUCCGAAUCCCUAAGAGUGUGGACUUUUCACAGCCAUUGGGUGACUGCUUAUCAAAGAGUCUAGUGGAGCGACUUUCAGCUCUGAGGGCUCGGAUAGUUGUCAUGGCUGCCCGGGAGGCACCAUCAGCAGUGAAGCCAAGAUGGAGAGCAGCUACUCGACAUGGAGGUUCUCCCUUGGCUGAUCUUCUUCGUGCUCUGGAGGACUACUUACCUGUACUGCUGGGAUUGGUGGAGGAUGGUAGUCAAUUGAAAGACAAGAUUCGGUUUGUUUGGGUUAACCAGGAGGAUGAUGUUGGGGAAACUGCCAUGACAAACGCUUGGUAUGAGGUGCUGUCAGUUUUACACUUGAUGGCUGUGAUAUGUUUAUCACUGGCCAAUUUGUUGCUUCUUCCUAAAACAUCUACUGAUGGUUAUCAGCCAAGGGUAUCUGAAGAGAGCAGACGGAGCUCUGUUGAUGUUUUCUUGAGGGCAGCAGGUUAUUUGGAUUGUGCUAUUCAGCAUGUUCUUCCUCAAAUACCUCAAGAUCUCAGGAGAGAUCUCCCAGAAGACCUCGCAGAAGGAGUGCUUAAAGCUCUCUCCAUGCAGGCCUUGGGUCAGGGUGUUGAUAUUCAACUUGGGAUGGCAAUUGAUAGUCCAAAGGCCACACUAGCAGUUAAACGCCGGUUAGCAUGUGAGAUGGUCAAGUAUUGGCAUCAGUCUACACAGGCUCAUGAUAACAUAUCACAACUUCAUUUCUCUGAUGGCUGGGGGAAGAAACAUCAACUUUUUGUGAAGUGGAAAUAUGUUGAAGCAAAGGCUGCUGCAUAUUAUUACCAUGGAUUGAUCCUUGAUGAGGGGAAAACAGAGAAAUCCCAUGGAAUGGCUGUAGCUGCUCUGCAAGCAGCUGAGGAAUUUCUCAAAGAAAGCAAGAAAGCCUGUGCGGCCUUCAAUCUGAUGCCUCCUAUCUCCAAGAUUCCUCCUCUGUGGGGAUCUAUGAAGUACCUUUCCGAGAAGAUCCCCAAAGAUGCCUCAAGCAAGGUUAAAAUCAAUCGAGAUCUCUACAGUCAAGAAAGUGCAUCGUCUUAAAACCACAUGCUUGGAUCUGUGAGAAGAACAUUAUUUAGGAAUGCUUGAGCUGGUGAAUGUGAUAAUAUGCAGAUCCUGAACUUGAUUCUUCAGACGGCACCGAUGUUGCCAGAUUUUGCAUUGGCUUUGAAACCGGAUGACUACCAACUUCCUCCAUUGGAUGCUUCAUGGAAGAAAGAGGAUAACUGUCAGUAGAAAAUUUUGGAGGAGACAAAGGCAGAAGAGUACCAGCCUUGAGAAGUUGGAUGCAUACAGCGAGUGAAAGGGUGACAGUUUUGCAUACCACUGUGCGGUAGAUCAUUGGAUGUGCGAGGGAUCUCUUAUUUACAAGUCUUUUGAAACAUAAAAUGUAGAUAAUAAAUGACAGAAAUGAUUCCAUUUCACCAAUGAAGAAAUAACCUGUUAUUUCUUGUUCUUUUUCUUUUUCUUUUCUUUUUUUAAAAGAAAAACCUUGUUGCUCAUUGUACAAGCUCUUCCUAUUUUUAUUUGGCUAGAAUUUCUAGAAUAAUUCUAGGAUGAGCAGUGAGGGUGUUUUGGUACCUUAAGAAAAGGCAGGCAUAAAUAAAGGCUUCCUAACAGGAAUAUCUCCUGAUAGCUUUCCUUUUAAA